rnacentral:rRNA from 1 species
GUGGGGAAUAUUGCACAAUGGGCGAAAGCCUGAUGCAGCAACGCCGCGUGAAGGAUGAAGGCCUUUGGGUCGUAAACUUCUGUCCUUGGGGAAGAAAAAAAUGACGGUACCCCUGGAGGAAGUCCCGGCUAACUACGUGCCAGCAGCCGCGGUAAUACGUAGGGGGCGAGCGUUAUCCGGAAUUAUUGGGCGGAAAGAGUACGUAGGGGGUUUUUUAAGCGCAGGGUUUAAGGCGAUGGCUCAACUGUCGUUCGCCCUGUGAACUGGAAGACUUGAGUACAGGAGAGGAAAGCGGAAUUCCUAGUGUAGCGGUGAAAUGCAUAGAUAUUAGGAGGAACACCAGUGGCGAAGGCGGCUUUCUGGACUGUAACUGACACUGAGGUACGAAAGCGUGGGGAGCAAACAGGAUUAGAAACCCCUGUAGUCC